CCACCAGUGACAUUGUAGAAGGGAUGUUGGAUUUGGUAAGGGAUAGCAUCAGCAGUACUGGAGGGCAGAUCCCCAUCUUCAAGUCCAAGAAAAGCAAGAAAACCAUGUUCAGCAAGAUAUGCUUUAACAUAAAGGUAUANNNNNNNNNNNNNAAGGACCACUGUCCUCAAAAGUCUAUGGAGUACCAGCCUCAGAACACUUCCCCUACUGUGUACUUUACAGGUAAGCCCUGCUGCUGCUCAUUCAAGACUAAGAUAUUAUUACUUUAGCGUUCAACUAAUUCAUUUGGAAAGACAUUGCACUCUGCUCUGAAUUGUUACCCAUGACAUACUGGAUGGUCUUUCUUUUCAGAGUCGAGGACAAAUUCUCAUGGCUCCUUUGCUCCAGAGGGAAAUGACAUCGCAUAUUCCUUCCCACCUGAAGAGAAGAGUCGCAAACCCUCCCUUUUCACCAGAAUGUAUAGAGCCAUCACUAGAAGCUUCUCCAACCCAAGAUAAUUUUCCUCAUUAAAUGAGAUUGCAUUCAUUUGUUGUCAUAUGUUGACUGUUUUGCUAGCACAGACUGUAAUAUGUUCUGCGAUUCAUCCACAUGCAUUGAGGAGUAUACCACCUCAGUCACAGGCUACAUCAAUAAGUGGAUCGACAACGUCGUGCCCACAGUGACCGUAUGUACAUAUCCCCGACAGAAGCCAUGGAUUACAGGCAACAUCCACACCGCGCUAAAGGCUAGAGCUGCUUCUUUCAAGGAGCGGGACACUAAUCCAGACACUUAUAUGAAAUCCU
rnacentral:lncRNA from 13 species